GCGGAGGUGGCGGAACUGGCAGACGCGCUAGCUUGAGGUGCUAGUGGGAGCAAUCCCUUGGGGGUUCGAGUCCCCCUCUCCGCACCA
rnacentral:tRNA from 2 species